rnacentral:rRNA from 1 species
GUAGGGAAUAUUGGUCAAUGGACGAAAGUCUGAACCAGCCAUUCAGCGUGCAGGAAGAAGAUUCUAUGGAUUGUAAACUGCUUUUAGCAGAGAAGAAACGCCUUCAUUGAUGAGGGUUUGACGGUAUCUGCGGAAUAAGCACCGGCUAACUCCGUGCCAGCAGCCGCGGUAAUACGGGGGGUGCAAGCGUUAUCCGGAAUCACUGGGUUUAAAGGGUGCGUAGGCGGGAAAUUAAGUCAGUGGUGAAAGUCUGUUGCUUAACGAUAGAAUUGCCGUUGAUACUGAUUUUCUUGAAUUGGGUUGAGGUUAGCGGAAUGUGACAUGUAGCGGUGAAAUGCAUAGAUAUGUCAUGGAACACCAAUUGCGAAGGCAGCUAGCUGGGCCUUGAUUGACGCUGAGGCACGAAAGCGUGGGUAGCGAACAGGAUUAGAAACCCGAGUAGUCC